rnacentral:rRNA from 1 species
GUGGGGAAUAUUGGACAAUGGGGGCAACCCUGAUCCAGCCAUGCCGCGUGAGUGAUGAAGGCCUUCGGGUUGUAAAGCUCUUUCGCACGCGACGAUGAUGACGGUAGCGUGAGAAGAAGCCCCGGCUAACUUCGUGCCAGCAGCCGCGGUAAUACGAAGGGGGCUAGCGUUGUUCGGAUUUACUGGGCGUAAAGCGCACGCAGGCGGUCUUUUUAGUCAGAAGUGAAAGUCCUGGGCUCAACCUGGGGAUUGCUUUUGAUACUGGAAGACUAGGGUUCGCGAGAGGAUGGCGGAAUUCCCAGUGUAGAGGUGAAAUUCGUAGAUAUUGGGAAGAACACCGGUGGCGAAGGCGGCCAUCUGGCGCGAUACCGACGCUCAUGUGCGAAAGCGUGGGGAGCAAACAGGAUUAGAUACCCCGGUAGUCC